GAUGAACGCUGGCGGCGUGCAUAACACAUUCAAGUCGAACGGUGAAGUCCCUUCGGGGACGGAUCAGUGGCGGACGGGUGAGUAACGCGUGGGUAACCUGCCGUAUGCUGGGGGACAACAGUUGGAAACGACUGCUAAUACCGCAUAAGCGCACAGGACCGCAUGGUCUGGUGUGAAAAACUCCGGUGGUAUACGAUGGACCCGCGUCUGAUUAGCUAGUUGGUGAGGUAAUGGCCCACCAAGGCGACGAUCAGUAGCCGGCCUGAGAGGGUGAACGGCCACAUUGGGACUGAGACACGGCCCAAACUCCUACGGGAGGCAGCAGUGGGGAAUAUUGGACAAUGGGGGAAACCCUGAUCCAGCGACGCCGCGUGAGUGAAGAAGUAUUUCGGUAUGUAAAGCUCUAUCAGCAGGGAAGAAAAUGACGGUACCUGACUAAGAAGCUCCGGCUAAAUACGUG
rnacentral:rRNA from 1 species